rnacentral:rRNA from 2 species
AAAUUGAAGAGUUUGAUCAUGGCUCAGAUUGAACGCUGGCGGCAGGCCUAACACAUGCAAGUCGAACGGUAGCACAGAGAGCUUGCUCUCGGGUGACGAGUGGCGGACGGGUGAGUAAUGUCUGGGAAACUGCCUGAUGGAGGGGGAUAACUACUGGAAACGGUGGCUAAUACCGCAUAACGUCGCAAGACCAAAGAGGGGGACCUUCGGGCCUCUUGCCAUCAGAUGUGCCCAGAUGGGAUUAGCUUGUUGGUGAGGUAACGGCUCACCAAGGCGACGAUCCCUAGCUGGUCUGAGAGGAUGACCAGCCACACUGGAACUGAGACACGGUCCAGACUCCUACGGGAGGCAGCAGUGGGGAAUAUUGCACAAUGGGCGCAAGCCUGAUGCAGCCAUGCCGCGUGUAUGAAGAAGGCCUUCGGGUUGUAAAGUACUUUCAGCGGGGAGGAAGGUGUUGUGG